rnacentral:lncRNA from 1 species
UCACCUUGAUUCCAAGCUAUAACUAGUAGGAAAUCACUCUCUAAUCAAAAACCAAUUCAUAAGAAGUUACACAAGGAAGAAAGGUGGGCUGGAGUGGAGCUAUUUUGGGAGAAAGCAAGCUGUAUUUUUCUGUUCAUCUUGGGGAUUCAAGGUAUUCUUGGCAAGGAACUACUUUUUCCUUUUAAUCUUGCAUUUAAGUUGCUAUAUUACUUGAAUAUGGAAGUUUUAUGAAAGAUUUCAUGGGUUGUGAAGUUGGUGGAACUUUUCUAGCUUUGAUUCAUAUUUUCCAGCCAUGAGAUGAUUAUACCUAGCUUUGUUAUGGACUUGAGAGAGAUGAUAUGAAGAUUUCUAGCUUUAAUAUGACUUUUAGCUUCCAAAUAAGGAUUUUCCAGUUUUAGUUCUAAAUUUCCAGCUUAGGGUUUAACUUUCCAGCACUUAGUACUAAUUUUGCCCUGUUUUAAGAACCACACAGACCAACACAUUCGUCCAUAUUAGAGGCCAAAUCAGGCCUAGGUUAAAAAAUGAAAGUUGUAGGGAAUGGAGUUAGGAAGCGGCCUGUAAAAUUUAAGUUCAAUCGGAGCCAUGUAGCAUGUUAAAUGACAAAAUUACCCCUGACUGCCAAAUGCACUGUUUCGCGGACAGUUUUCUGUCUCCUUUGAGAUUGCACAUUUGACCUUGAAAAUGACCGAAUUGGAUGUUGAUGCCUUCAUAGGAAAUGUAGCCCUCUGUCUUAGCUUAGAAACAAUAUGAUGUUCACACCAAUCCGAUAAACAUAGCUCUAGUUGUGACCAAAAUACUAUAAGAUGUCGAAUCUGCCAUUUAGCCUUUUGUCUUCAAAACUUAAUUUGCGGUUGUAUUAGUAAACUUGUGCUGUACUUGGAUGAUUUUGGAGCCUAAUUGAAGAGCUAUGGUGGUAACAUUACUUGUGUGUGAUUUUGGGGCUGAAUUAAGAAAAAUAAUGAAGCCAUAAAUGACUGAAAAAUAGGUAAAUACAAAGGGCAUGCUGCCCAAAUUUUCACUCGAGGGUUAGGUAGAUAUACUCGCGACUUGAGUAAGAAUUUGAGGAUGAAUCUAACUCAAAUUGUCUAGGUUAUUCGAGUCCUUUUUUUGUAGAGGUAUAUAAGCUAGAGUUCGCCUGAAACUUGUACCCUUGGAAAAAAUAAAAGUAACGACUAAUAGAAAUACGUUUUCCUCGUCACUUCGAUUCAAAUGUAGAUUUCAAAGUUUUAAGAGCGAGCAUGAGUUUUACAAAUAUUUUAUUCAUGUCCUUUGGUCUAAAUGUACUCUUUUCACUCCAAAAAUCAUCUUUAUACAUUGUACUAGUAGUUAUUCGGAUUUUCUUUGAUUCACGUAAACUUUGGAUGGUUGAACCGUAAUAUUUUCUCUUGGUUAUUCUUAGGGUCCCUUGGUGAUUGAGGGUAUUAUCUGAAAGGAUACUUUGGACGUUAUUUUGCUUAAAUGGGUGAGUGUUCUUUGUACGUUAUGCUUUCAUCGACUAUGUGGCUUGUUGUGGAUGUUUGAUUAAAUGUUAAAUGUUUUCAAUGAUUGCUAAAAAUGAAUUUUGCUAGGCGAGUGUGUACUUUAUCGCAUUCGAUCUAAAUGAAUCCAAAAUUUUCUAUGAUUAAAUGAUUAUAUGCUAAUUGUGCAUGAAUAUAAGCCUUUUGGCUGAACUGGGCCUCUGCCCUUCGUUGCUAGUCGAUUCGAGCCAGAAGCGGACUCGGUCGGGCGAUUGGUGACCCUGGGUGAAUGUUUGGUAUACUCGAGUAUUACCACGAAAUCUGGUAGAGAAUGGCCAGUAAAUUGGCUAGUAGGGGAGAUGGAAUGAAUGAACGAAUGGCAAUAUCAAUGGAGGGAUUUUCACUUACAAAAUACAUUUUGUUUAUAUUGGAGGAAUAAGGAAAUGGUUGGUGAAUGAAGGAACAAAUGGCUCCACGUGAGCAUGUAUCCUUUUAAUAAAUGUGCUAUUAUUGCUUUUAUAUUGUAAAUAUUUUCUGGAUUAUUUGUUAUUCAAUGAUUAAUGUCUUGGACUUAAUUAUGUGAUUAUGUGUAUAGAACCUCACUGGGCUUUUCACUCAUUCCGUUAGUUUUGUUUUCCUUACAGGGGAUGCGAGCGAGGGCGUGAGACCUGUACAGAUUAGUACGGUCUAGUUCUUUUGAAUUUUUGCGAUUUUACUCGUGCUAGCGCUUGGAU